AAUCACGUAUUUAUUGGAACUAGUUCAAUAUUAGGUGUAAUAAUAACGUAAUGUUUACUAAAUGAUGAAUACAUUUUAGAUUCUGAGUGAAAAGCGAUAGUUUUAUUACCUUCUGCCUGUAAAAAUCGUUUGAUUUGCAUCAAUUUACAGAACGGUUUCAAGUAGCAAAUUUUGUAUAAUAUCGGAAGAAGCCGAAAAAGAACGACAACAUUUUUAAGGAAUAAUAGGUUUUAUUUUAAUUCCUUUCGUUU